rnacentral:misc_RNA from 1 species
AAGUCGUAACAAGGUUUCCGUAGGGUAAGUUAUUAUCAAAUCCUCUAUUAUUAUUUCUUGAUUUUACAGUAUACUAACGUGCUAUAGUGAACCUGCGGAAGGAUCAUUACCGAGUAAUUGGUCGCUAUUUAUAGCACCAAACUCCCACCCUUAUGUUUACUACAAUUUGUUAUCUUUGGCGAAGCGUUUUUUUCUCAAAGCCACUGGUAGUGAAAACUAUGAGUGAGUCUUUGCCAAAGUUUUUCAACUCUUGAAUUUUUUCAUGGUUGUCUGAGUUUAAACAAAAAAAUAAUUAAAA